rnacentral:RNase_P_RNA from 1 species
UCGGUAAAAUGGGCAGUCGCAGAUGCACCGCAAGGUGUAGAUGAGGAAAGUCCGGGCAUCAUACGGCAGGGUAACGGCUAACGGCCGCCGAGGGAAACCUUAGGGAUAGUGCAACAGAGAUAUACCGCCGAUUUUUUCGGUAAGGGUGGAAAGGCGAGGUAAGAGCUCACCGGGGCAUUGGAGACAGUGCUGCCAUGUAAACCCUACCCGAUGCAACACCGACAGGGGAGUCAGCCGGACAGCGUUUUCGCAACCCCGACGGGUGGCUAGAGCCACGUGGCAACAUUUGGCGUAGAUAGAUGACUGCCUUAGACGACAGAACCCGGCUUACAGUUUUACCGUCUUG